rnacentral:lncRNA from 1 species
ACGGAUCUGCACAUUUUCAAGAUUGGUUUGCCAUGGCUCUUUGAAACAGUUACUCUUGUCCUCAUUGUAGAGAUGGCGAUACUAAGGCAGAAUAUGGCUAGCCUGGACUUCUUUUUGUGGAGACUGGAUUCCAAGAUUGAAAGUAGAAGCUACAUGUUUUCUCCAAGCAGGGCUUUCAGACUUCACUUCUGCAACAUUUUAUUGAUGAAAGCAAGUCACAAGACCAGACUGAUUCAAGGGGUGGAGAAAUAGACCCUACUUCUUGAUGGAGGGAGGAGUAGAGUUACAUUGCAAAGGGAUCUGGACAAAAAAAGGAGUGAUUUAUUAGGAAUCAUGUUUAACAAUUUACCACAAUCCCCAGCGCA